GAUGAACGCUAGCGGCAGGCCUAACACAUGCAAGUCGAGGGAGGAGCCUUCGGGCUUCGACCGGCGUACGGGUGCGUAACGCGUAUACAAUCUGCCUUUCACAUAGGGAUAGCCCGAAGAAAUUUGGAUUAAUACCUAAUGGUAUAUAGAUGUGGCCUCACAUUUAUAUUAAAGCUGAGGCGGUGAAAGAUGAGUAUGCGUUCUAUUAGCUAGUUGGAGAGGUAACGGCUCCCCAAGGCGACGAUAGAUAGGGGUUCUGAGAGGGAUAUCCCCCACACUGGUACUGAGAUACGGACCAGACUCCUACGGGAGGCAGCAGUGAGGAAUAUUGGACAAUGGUCGGAAGACUGAUCCAGCCAUGCCGCGUGCAGGAAGACGGCCUUAUGGGUUGUAAACUGCUUUUGCAGGGGAAGAAUAAGGAGUACGUGUAC
rnacentral:rRNA from 1 species